GACGUAGGGCGCGAGCGUUGUCCGGAUUUAUUGGGCGUAAAGAGCUCGUAGGCGGCUUGUCGCGUCGAAUGUGAAAUCUCAGGGCUCAACUCUGACAUUGCAUUCGAUACGGGCAGGCUAGAGUUCGGUAGGGGAGACUGGAAUUCCUGGUGUAGCGGUGAAAUGCGCAGAUAUCAGGAGGAACACCGGUGGCGAAGGCGGGUCUCUGGGCCGAUACUGACGCUGAGGAGUGAAAGCGUGGGGAGCGAACAGG
rnacentral:rRNA from 1 species